ACACCUCAACUCUUCAUGGUUUUCUGUGAUGAGCUUGGACUUUGGGGGUUUUGCUGGCCUGCGGUCGGCUCCUCUAAAAUGAAUCAGCUUGCCAGUGUUUGGUGGGCAUCACAGGUGUGAUAACUAUCUACGCUUGUGGUUUUCCACCAGGUAACCUUCAGCAGUGGAGGUUCGCUGGAGCUCACAGAUGUCUCUCCUCAGCGAGGACAGCUCUUUGAAC
rnacentral:misc_RNA from 1 species